UAGGGAAUCUUCCACAAUGGACGCAAGUCUGAUGGAGCAACGCCGCGUGAGUGAAGAAGGUCUUCGGAUCGUAAAGCUCUGUUGUUGGUGAAGAAGGAUAGAGGCAGUAACUGGUCUUUAUUUGACGGUAAUCAACCAGAAAGUCACGGCUAACUACGUGCCAGCAGCCGCGGUAAUACGUAGGUGGCAAGCGUUGUCCGGAUUUAUUGGGCGUAAAGCGAGCGCAGACGGAAUGAUAAGUCUGAUGUGAAAGCCCACGGCUCAACCGUGGAACUGCAUCGGAAACUGUCAUUCUUGAGUGCAGAAGAGGAGAGUGGAACUCCAUGUGUAGCGGUGGAAUGCGUAGAUAUAUGGAAGAACACCAGUGGCGAAGGCGGCUCUCUGGUCUGCAACUGACGCUGAGGCUCGAAAGCAUGGGUAGCGAACAGGAUUAGAUACCCUGGUAGUCCAUGCCGUAAACGAUGAGCGCUAGGUGUUGGGGGACUUUCCGGUCCUCAGUGCCGCAGCAAACGCAUUAAGCGCUCCGCCUGGGGAGUACGACCGCAAGGUUGAAAC
rnacentral:rRNA from 1 species